AGGGACGACCCCCCCACCCCGCUUUUCCCUCAGUCGGCUCUCUCUCCCAAUGACGUCGGCCAGGCUUCACAGUGCUCUUUCCUUGUUAUUGACAACUCCGCCCCGGCUCUCGCCCCGCCCCCCCGGCCUCUAUUUAAGAUUCAUCAUCAAUAGUUAGUGCCUCCUUCUGGUCUGUCUACACUGUACCAUCCCCCUCCCCACAGUCCCCCACUCCCUCCCUUCCUCUUCACCACCCGGCCAUCCUAACCCCCAAGUGCGCGUGCCCGUCCUCCCCAGCCCUACUCUCUCUCCUCCCUCCCUUCCCCACCACCAAGUCGGAGCCAUCCCACGCGCGCGCGCUCGAUCCUGGCUGUCUGGAGUCAGUUGCUCCAGCGCCCGCGCGCGCUGGUCUGUCCCUGCCCCUGCCCCUGCUGCCGCUGCUGCCGACGCAGGGGCCGCCGGGGCCUCGUCCUACCGCCACCAGCGGAGCGCGAGCGUCGGGAGCCAGGCGCGCGGCCCCCUGCCCAGGCUCAGCCAGCCAGAAUACACCCAGUAUGUGUGAACAGUUCUGCAGAGUCUUCAGGAAUGUUGACUGUUUGCCAGACCAGAAAAAUGUACUUUUGACUGUAAGACUGUUAAAUUCCUGGACCAUCUAUCUUCCCUGAAGGACUUCAAAUGAAUCUUUACAAGCUAACUAUAGUGAUAGACUAAGAAUGACCUACCAAGGUAUGUAGGGUAUUAGUAUAACAAUUCACAAAUUUUUCUAAUGACUUGGAAUUUUAUUAACAACUUUUCCUAAAUUGUGGCACAUAUCAUGACUUUUUAAAUGAAAGGCCUUGUUUUCAAUGGACUUUAGUUAUAUGAGCAGCUUUUACAUAACCCGGGGCAGUCUAAAAUUUCAUUCCUAAUUUAUUCAGUCCCUCAUCUUAAUACAACUCCUUUUAUAUUCUUAUGUUACCAUGUCCCAUAUUUUAAGGGCCUGCUUGCCAAUUGAGAUAAUUGCUUGCAUAUGAUUUAACACAACCUAAAUCAGCUAUUAAAAAAAAACAACAUGCAAAGUUGGAAGGAAAAAAAGACAGGUUGCCAUUUCUAAGUGGUUGUCUGGCUCUUCUCUUAAUGCCAAUUGCUACUCUGUAAAAUUUAACCAAUGAUACCACAGAUCUUUUUUCAUUAUCCAAUAAAUUUUCCUGUUACCUUCA
rnacentral:lncRNA from 1 species